rnacentral:lncRNA from 1 species
UAACUCCCAAAGGUUUUCUAAAAAUAAAAAAAACCUGAAGGUCAUAUCAUCAAAAUAUUCAUGAUCUAAAAAAUCAUACAAAAAACUGCGGAAAUUUUCUAAAGACAUACUACUCUCCCCUAACUUCCAAAGAGGAUUUUGUAAAGCAAAAAGAUUGGUAGUCAUAUGAGCAAAUACUUAUGGGAUAACACACAUAAAACUGAAAAGAUCACCUAAUUUCUGUAAAUUAGCGCCUAAAUUAUGUCAUGGAUCAUGGUGAGACAUUUGAUAUUUAGGAAAUACAUUGAAAUUGAGGAGCGUGGAACAUGUAGCAGUACAUUGAAAUGAAAAGGAAUGUGGUCGAAUAGUUCGUUUGGUAUGAGGUAUAAAACUCUGCAGUAUUAAUCAUGUAUUUGAUAUCUGUAUGUUGAAUUCAAUUCACUACAUGUAUAAUAUGUCCGUGAACCAAGAAACCUAUCGAGAUCCAUAAGUAUCAUGACAAGCUGAAAUUUCAUAUAAUAGUAGAUAACAUAUCCAGAGACCAGAACUGAGGGCACUGAUAGAAUAACUUUUGUGUAUGAUCAAAUUUCAUACUAGAGAAGCAAUUCUAUAGCAAAAGCAUCAUCAUUUUGAACAUAAUAAGCUUGUAUAGUGUAAAAUAGAUCAAGCCUGACUAAGUUUACAACACUCAGGGCACUGAAAGUGUCCUCUAGCUCCACAUUUCAUACAAGAAGAAGAGGAUCCUACUUUCGAUUUAUCCUCUAAAACAAUGAAAUUUAAUGGUCCUCCUUUAAUUGUACCAGAUCCUUUGCAGCUUGAACAUGCUAUCAGUUUUAAAUCUCCACAUUUUUUGCACAUCCCCAGUGAACUGCUCAUAGCAAAAAAAACCAAUACUAUAUGCAUUAUGUAUUAACACUCGAACAAAAAAACAGUAGGAUUCUUGAUGAUCAAUAAGAGCUAUGAAAUUAUAUUGUAUGCACCAAUAUUUAAAACUCGGUGAAUAACUGGUCUGUCCCUCUAUCGUUCUCCCCUUAAAUGUCGCUCCCUCCGUUUCAAAAUAAGUUGAAAUGAAAUUUAUAUAUUUGUAAACUACGUAAAAAGUACUAUGAGUCACAAUAAUUGAUAAUUCAAAAUGUUUAAAAGAUCUAUGGAAAAUUUACGGUCAAAGAUAAACUUGUUUGACUAUUGAAAUCCGAAAGGUGACAUAUAAAAUGGAACGGAUAUAGUACAUUUUGGGAAUAUGAGUAGUUGUUUACUUAAAAUGUAUGUUCAAACUAAAAACAUUCACUUAUUUUAAAAUGAAGGGACUAAUAUUAGUCUUUUGUCAGGAUUUGAACCCAUGACGUGUGUUUAAUCCACACAGUAGCAUAACUACAAUCAUUCCAGGGUGUCAGACUUCACCGAAAAAUUACGUUAUAUAUAUAUAUAUAUAUGUCAAAUUCUAUAUUUAAUGUAUAUAUAUACAAAGUUGAACACCCUUAACAAUUAACAAAAGUAUAUCUUUGGCGGAGUUUCGGGUUCUAACCCCAGAUAACACAAUAAUUUUUUGUUUUGUUUAUAUAUAUAUAUAUAUACUAGUUCUCGGAUUGUGCAUCGCAUGUUUGUCCCCUAAUUGAUAUUAGAAAACUUUAAUUUAUAUAGCUAAGUUCAAAUCUAAGUCCUUUCAUAUGUAAGUUUAACAUAAGAAAUAUAACUCUGCACAAAAUAUAACAUGAAAAUAUUGUGUUAGAUAUUGGAGAUUUGAUAUAUUAAAUACUUCAUGAAAAAUAAACAUUUUAUUUUAUCAAAGGAAUUAAUAUAUUUUAAUAACUAAACACAUAAGUUUUAAUAAUCAAAAAAGAAAUUGUCUAUAAAAAAAGAUACGUAUAAAGAAAAAUAUUAUAAAAUGUUUGGGCGGUAUACCAUCAAGUUUAUAGAAAAAAUUACAAUUUCAAACGAAAAAAAAAGAAGAAGUAAAUAAAGACAUGACAUCCAUAAUAAAAGACAUCACAUUAAAAUAUAUAGACAAAAAUAUUUUCAUACUAAUUGAAUUACAUUUUGUUAAAAGUAGGCUUACUCUAGAUAAAACAUGACUUAUUCUAGACGAAACAUAUUAUAUGUAUAAAAAACUAUAGUCAUAUAAUAAUAAUAAUAAUAAAUAAGACAAACAGAAAAGAAGGCAUGAAUAUGUUAAGACUAAGAUAUAUAUAUAUAUAUAUAUAUAUAUAUAUAUAUAUAUAUAUAUAUAUAAUGAAUUCUAAAACCCAUGGCGUGUGCUUAAUCCACACGGUAGCAUAACUACAAUAAUUCCAGGUGUCACACUUCAUCGAAAAAUUACGUUAUAUAUAUAUAUAUAUAUAUAUAUAUAUAUAUAUAUAUAUAUGCCAACUUCUAUAUUUAAUGGAUAUAUAUUUAAAGUUGAACACCCUUGCCAAUUAACAAAAGUAUACCUUUGGCGGAGUUUCGGGUUCUAACCCCAGAUAACACAAUAAUUUUUUGUUUUGUUUUGUUUUGUUUUGACCAUCACAUACCAUUAUUCUUGGACACGAACUUCUGGCUUUGUCACUGAAUUCACACAUUAGGUAAUUUGGAGUACUAUUAAUGUGUAAAAAUUCAAUCUUUGGUGAUAAUUUACUUAAAUCCUAGUUCAUUUACAUGGAUAAAAAUACAAGGCAAAAAACCCUAAAAGGAAAAAACAAGAAAAAAGUAGUUAUAGUGCAUAGUACCUGCGUUGAGAAGUAGAGAUGAAGGAAUCAAUUUUGGGAGCAUAAAUGGUGGCAGCAAGUAGCAAACCACCCACUCCAAAUCCUGCUAUUUCACUUGCUGUUAUGUGUUCAAACAUUUCCCCCCCUUUUUUUUUCCUGCUAAAUUAAUGUUUACAAAUUUGCAUAAAAUAGAAAGAGAUGAUAUAUUUAGGAAAAAGAAAGCAAUACCCUCUUAUCCCAAUAAUUGGAUAAGAUAUGUGGGGUUAUUUUGUUUUGCAAUUCUUUUAUUAUUAGUUUUUUUUAAAAAAAAAAACUUAAAUUUGGAGCAAAUAGAUCCAGGACAAAGGGUAGAAAAAGUGAACCAAUAUGCUACCAAUUGAUGUAGAGUUUGGACUUUUGAUUCAUUACUAUAUAGUGUAAUUUCAUAAAUAAAAUUUGAGAAAGAUUAUUUUUAUUUUUAUAUAAUAGAAAUAUUAUUUUUAAUAGACAUCCAGCUAAAAAAAGAUAUUAUUCAGAAAAUAGUUGUAUCAAAAUAUAAAACAAAUGAAGCAACAGAUAGUAAAAACAAAAUAAAGAAUAUGAACUAUGUGAUUACUAAAUACUAUUAAGGAGAAAAAGUUAUAGGCUUGGCCUUCUACUUCUCCACCUAAGCUAGCUACUAACUUCUAACCUAAUAUUCAAACCUCGUAUUUUUCUAUUUAAGAUUGUGUCUUUAAUAACUAAAAUUAUGUCAUAUCUUAUCUAAUCAAAUAUCAUUGCGCCCUUGUUCUUUUUUGACAUGUUCUAAAAAUUUUGAUGAUUGCAAUAUCAGAGUCAACAUUUGGACACCUCGAUUAAUUCUACGGGAUACCUCUUAAAACUUGAUGAUUGUGGUGUUAGAGCCAGCUUUCACGCACCUCGACUAAUUCCACGUGAUACCUCUGUCUCUUCUAACUCCUACUAUAGUCAACCUCUCACACAUGCUAACCUGUGCAUCUGCACACCUCAUUUUAAGAUGCACAAACCAUCUUAGUCAUCUUUCUCUCAUCUUAUUUGCCACAGAGGUUAUUCUGUCCAUACUCUGUAUAACUUCAUUCUGAAACAUAUAUUUAUUCUAAUAUGUUCACGUAUCUAUUUUAGUAUUCUUAUAUUCGUUACAUAUAUCUUCUCAAUGUAGGCGCGUUCUUGUCUUUCUGACUCUCCGCUCUCAUUACUCUUAAGUCUUGGUGACACAUUAUUAAUUAUAACAUUAUCAUUUUAUUUAUGUCCAGACACUAGUAAAUAAAACACUAGAGAUAUUCAUAAAGUUUUCUAUUUAAUUGGUUAUAGAAAACUAUUUAUCAACCUUUUGUUUCUCAACUUGUAUCUAAUAAAUAUAUAUAAGCCGAUUAAUUUAAAUUUGUGUCGAAAAUUUCAUUUUAAUUGUAAGUGCAUCUUGUAAAUGAAAUUUAUUUCAGUUUUAGAUCUCUAAAUAAAAUUUUAUCUUAGCCUUUCAAUUAUGUUAAGCUUACAUGAUACCCUACCUUUAGGAUUGUUGUGACUCGGUCAUUCUUUCACUUAUGCAAUAAGAUAAUAAGACUUAACAUUUUCAUUCACUUAUAAUCUGGAUGAACUAUAUUGGUCAAAGUAAAUAUAAUAAGAUUAAGUGGUGGAGUAAAAAAUAUAAAAAAAUAUGUUAAAAGUGAUAUUCGAAAUCAGGCAUAGUCAUAUUAAAAAAACCUUAAGCGCUUAUUCAAGAAUUAGUGAAUCAAUUAAAUUAUUUAUUUAUUAAAUGAUUUAUGUUAAAUUUUUAAUACAAAUUUCUUCUUAAAAUAUAUAUAUAUAUAUAUAUAUAUAUUUUAAGACGAAAUUAAUGAGUAUUCGAGCACUCAAAAUGACUCUAUAUGGGUCUUGGCUCUGGUUAAGGACCAUUUUAAUCAUUUUCUCCAUUUCCCAACACUAACUUGCAAUCCAAAAAUGAGAAAAAUAUCAUACAAGUUUUUCAAUUUCGUUUGUAUGAGAUAUGUGGAGGAGCUACACUUGUCCAAAAGGAAUUAAUUGACAUAGUCACUAUCACAUUGAAAAAUUAUGAUUGGUUGAAAUUCAUUAUAUAUAUAUAUAUAUUGAUGUGUUUACUUUUUUUUAUAUUUUAGGUAUAAUUACUGAAAAUACUGACAAUCUAAUAACCACUAAUUAAUCUAACGCUUUGACCUCACUACUCUCAAAUUUCAAAUGUAUGAUAUGCAUAUGUAUGAUAUAUCUAUGUACUAAAACAUGAAAAAAUAGUACUAAUUUAUUUCCUCAGUUCAAAGUAAAGGACUUCUUAUUUCAUAUUUUUAGUUUUUCAUUCAAGGUGAUGUAUUUAAUCGCCUUUGUUAGGAAGUUUUUUUACUCUUAAUCUGGAUUUUUUAGCAUGAAAUUUAAAUUUAGUCAGACUUCAAUAUAGAUAUCGAACACAGAAUGAAAAAUCAAAAAAACAAAAAAAUAUACUUACUCGAUUUUAUUUUUUUUAAAAAAUAUACAAUAAUUAUAUUCAAUCUAGUUUGAAAGGUCACUGUGUAAACAAGUCGUCUAGUACGAGGGAUAAUAAUAAAUUUUGAAACAAAUGCUGAAUUAUUAAUCUUUCAUUUGGUUAGAGCUGGUAUUAGUUAGCUUGGGGAUUAUUCAUUCCACCGUCAAUUCUAUAACGAUGGAUAAAUAUAUUUAUGAAAAAAAACAUUAUAUAUCCCGUCUCUCCCCUAAGCAACUUAGGGUAAAAAAAGGAACACCACUGAGAAAUAUAAUCAAAGGUACAAAUCAAUUUUUUCACAAGCAUAAAACUUUCAUUAAUUAGCCCAAAUUACUUUCACUUUCCGGGUACAAAGUUUGUGGCGUAAGCCCAAGCGUUGUUAGCCACAGGGUCGUUAAUGUGGUCAGAGAGGUUCUCAAUUGGACCCUUUCCAGUAACAAUAGCUUGAACAAAGAAUCCAAACAUAGAAAACAUAGCUAAACGUCCAUUCUUAAUUUCCUUCACCUUCAAUUCAGCAAAAGCCUCAGGAUCAUCAGCAAGGCCAAGUGGGUCAAAGGCACCUCCUGGGUAGAUCUUGUCAAGGCCCUCACCAAGUGGGCCUCCACCAACUCUGUAUCCUUCAACAAAGCCCAUAAGAACAACUUGGCAAGCCCAAAUAGCAAGAAUGCUUUGAGCAUGGACAAGGUUUGGGUUUCCAAGGUAGUCAAGCCCACCUUCGGAGAAAAUUUGAGAUCCAGCCUUGAACCAAACAGCUUCACCGAAUUUAACACCGUUCUUCGAAAGGAUUUCGGGGAAAACACAACCUAAAGCACCAAGCAUAGCCCAACGGCAAUGAAUCACCUCAAGCUCACGGUUUCUAGCAAAUGUCUCGGGGUCAGCUGAGAGUCCAGCAGUGUCCCAUCCGUAAUCACCUGGAAAUUCCCCAGUUAAGUAGGAUGGUGUUUGCUCCGAAAAUGGGCCCAAGUACUUAGGACGGUCUUCUCCGUACCUAUUUCACAAAAAAUUCGCGGACAUCAAAUGGAUUAGAGUUUUCAAAAACUAGAAGAUGUCAGAAAUUCUGAAUUAGUAAUGAUUAAAUUUAUGAUACAGAGUAGAAAAAUACCAGAUGCUUUGAGGAGCGCUUUUAACAGUGCGUCUCAUGGUAAUACGGCCUUCACCGAAGUUGCCAACUUUCCUAAUAAAUUCAUUUUGAGAUUUACCAACUGCUUGACCAACAAAGGCUGAUUGUUG